GAGUAAGUGACAUUUCGCUUUUAUAUAUAUUAUAGAUUAAGAUGCAUUAUUUGGACACCUCCUCACCAUCUACAGAGCAUACAUUUUAAAUUUCAAGUCUCUUACUUCAAAAACAUAGGACUUUCAUACAAACUUCCAACCCCCGUUUUACCCCCUUAGGGGUCGAGUUUCGUAAAAUCCGUUCUUAGCGGAUGCCUACGUCUUAUAAGGAGCCUACCUGCCAAAU
rnacentral:misc_RNA from 1 species